rnacentral:rRNA from 1 species
UACUGAGGGUGCAAGCGUUAAUCGGAAUUACUGGGCGUAAAGGGAGUGUAGGCGGUUACUUAAGUCGGAUGUGAAAUCCCCGGGCUCAACCUGGGAAUUGCAUUCGAUACUGGGUAGCUAGAGUUUGGUAGAGGUAAGUGGAAUUCCGGGUGUAGCGGUGAAAUGCGUAGAUAUCCGGAGGAACAUCAGUGGCGAAGGCGGCUUACUGGACCAAAACUGACGCUGAGGCUCGAAAGCGUGGGGAGCAAACAGG